AGUUGGAGUUGGGGAGUUCCGGGACAGUUAGUGGGUCCCGGCGGAGUCCCGGUGAGAUUUUCGGGACUUCCGGCGAGUUACGGUAAUCGGUUUUGGGAAACCGAUCUCCGUGGGAUUGUUUGUGGGUUAUGCUUUUAGGGUUUCUUAGCUGUGGGUUAGACAUUAACCCAGUGGACCUUCCUUAGGUCCGGUUGACGUUCUUUUGCAGUCAGGAGACAGGCGCGACAGUUGUACAGGUGGGUACUUCGAUCCGACGUCGGUACAGUGGUGCACGCUCGGUGACGUUUCAUUUACCCUUGUUGUUUAUAUCUUUUACCAUAUAUAUGUUGAGCCUUGCACCCAUACUGUUUCCUUAUUACUCUACUUAGUUGUUGCCAAGUGUAGUAUCAUGUGUAGGAGUAGAGUAGACUUUAUCGGUAUAUGAUCUUGUGACCUGGUUAGUGGUUUCAUACCCUGUAUUGGUGACCUGGUUGGUCGAGUUUCAUACCCUAUACCUACGACCUGGUUGGUCGAGUCUUCUGUGUCAUAUCUAGGACCUUGUUGGUCGAGCUUCCUAUCCUAUACUUGUGACCUUGUUGGUCGAGUUUCAUAUCCUGUACUGGUGACCUGGUUGGUCGAGUUUCAUACCCUAUACUUACGACCUGGUUGGUCGAUUUGUUUACAUGAUGACCCAUGCGGUCGAUGGGCCCUAGGGGGGGCAGGAUUGUCGGCCGGUUGCCGACGGUUGAUCAUUGAGCAUAUUGCAUUGAUUGCCCGAUACUCGUCGCAUUUCACGAACACUGGCGGUCUGAUCCACCGCAAGGAGUGUUCUUUUCCGGAAAAGUGGUUGAAUGGUGACAACCCGUGAGCCCUAGAGGGGUUAUAUGCAUGUUAGAGCGGCAGUGGUACUGUCGGGAGGUGUUGCGGUGCGGACCUCCAGGGCAUUGGCUUGAGGUCUGCGGUGCUGACCAAGAGAGCAUUGGUUUCAGAUUGGGUACUUUUGGACUUCUUGACCGGUUGACGCAUAUGUUUAUAGUAGCAGUCAUUGCAUGCAUACUUACAGUUCUUACUUUAUAGUUGUCUUGCUGCUAUAGUAGAUGUUCAUGUAUGCUUUCAGUUUCAGUUACAGUAGCGGUAGCCGUUAUUCAGUCUAGUUCUUACUUUCUUUCAGUUUAUUGCUACUGUAUUCGGUAUAUCUGCUCUUUACCUUACUAUUGUUGCUACUAUAUUUCCACUGACCCUUGUUGUUAUUUAGCUCUUCCUGAUCCGGUGAGUACUCCUCGCCUUCAUCGGCUUGCGGUACCCACUGGGAGGGGAGACAUGUUUACAUGUUCUCACCUCCCCCACCAUUUUUCAGGUAUCGCGGGCGGUAAAUAGUGGGACGAGACGUGAGGUACAUGUGUAGCGGUCGAUAGAGCUUCCGACCCAGGUUAUUUCGGUAUAGUUAUUACCCUUAUUGUUUCAGUUGUUAUAGCUUAGAUAGUUAUAUGGUUCAGUAUUUUUAUUACAUUUGAAAAUAUGGAUUUUCGUAAAUGUAAUAAACGGAUUUCUGGAUUUUGUAAAAUAAAAGGUUUUCUACCCCUCGUGGUAGCGUUUUUAAAGAAUAAAGGUUUCCGUGUAGGAAACAGUUUUCAAAGGAUUUUCUGUGGAUUUUGCAUCUUAGUAUUUCAAAACCUGUUUCUGUGGUUGGAAACAUUUUAACUGAUAGAUGUGGAUUUAUGUUUAAAUAUCGAAUAUAUAAAUGUGAACCUGUGAUGUGAAUGGUGUAUGAACAUAUAAUUGUUGGUUAUUUGUAUGUUCAUUUGGUCGUGGUUGUACCUGGGUUACUUCUUGUACUUGUGUGACGCCGUGCAAAUACAGGGGAGACUCUGUCCGUGUGAACAGUGGAUUCCCUGUGUUUGUGGCGGAUCUGGC
rnacentral:lncRNA from 1 species